rnacentral:rRNA from 1 species
AACGAACGCUGGCGGCAUGCCUAACACAUGCAAGUCGAACGCCCCGCAAGGGGAGUGGCGAACGGGUGAGUAACGCGUGGGAACCUACCCAGCAGUUGGGGAUAACCGCGGGAAACUGCGGCUAAUACCGAAUACGUCCUAAGGGAGAAAGAUUUAUCGCUGUUGGAGGGGCCCGCGUCGGAUUAGCUAGUUGGUGAGGUAACGGCUCACCAAGGCGACGAUCCGUAGCUGGUCUGAGAGGAUGAUCAGCCACACUGGGACUUAGACACGGCCCAGACUCCUACGGGAGGCAGCAGUGGGGAAUAUUGGACAAUGGGGGCAACCCUGAUCCAGCAAUGCCGCGUGAGUGAUGAAGGCCUUAGGGUUGUAGAGCUCUUUUACCGGGGACGAUGAUGACGGUACCCGGAGAAUAAGCCCCGGCUAACUUCGUGCCAGCCGCCGCAGUAAGAC